GUGAGGAAUUUUCUGCAAUGAGCGAAAGCUUGACAGAGCAAUAUCGCGUGAAGGAUUGAAGGCCUAUUUAUUGGUUGUAAACUUCUUUUUUCAAGGAGGAAGAUCUGACGUUACUUGAAGAAUAAGCAUCGGCUAACUCUGUGCCAGCAGCCGCGGUAAUACAGGGGAUGCAAGUGUUAUCCGGAAUUAUUGGGCGUAAAGGGUCUGUAGGUUGAUAUUUAAGUCUUUUGUUAAAUCUUUAGGCUUAACCUAAAAUAAGCAAAAGAAACUAAUUAUCUAGAGUUUUAACAAUGUAAAGGGAAUUUUCAGUGGAGCGGUAAAAUGCGUUGAUAUUGAAAGGAACAUCAAAGGCGAAGGCACUUUAUCAAUGAAAAAACUGACACUGAGAGACGAAAGCUAGGGGAGCAAAUGGGAUUAGAUACCCGUGUAGUCC
rnacentral:rRNA from 1 species